UGCUCAGAUGGCUUAGUGGUCAGAGCAUCUGCCUAGCAAGCAGGAGCCCCAGGUUCGAAUCGUGGUCUGGCAC
rnacentral:tRNA from 1 species